UACGAAGGGGGGCUAGCGUUGUUCGGAUUUACUGGGCGUAAAGCGCACGUAGGCGGACUAUUAAGUCAGGGGGUGAAAUCCCGGGGCUCAACCCCGGAACUGCCUUUGAUACUGGUAGUCUUUGAGUUCGAGAGAGGUGAGUGGAAUUCCGAGUGUAGAGGUGAAAUUCGUAGAUAUUCGGAGGAACACCAGUGGCGAAGGCGGCUCACUGGCUCGAUACUGACGCUGAGGUGCGAAAGCGUGGGGAGCAAACAGG
rnacentral:rRNA from 1 species